rnacentral:rRNA from 1 species
UACGUAGGUGACAAGCGUUGUUCGGAUUUACUGGGCGUAAAGGGCGCGUAGGCGGCCAGCACAAGUCAGUUGUGAAAUCUCCGAGCUUAACUCGGAAAGGUCAACUGAUACUGUGCGGCUAGAGUGCGGAAGGGGCAACUGGAAUUCUUGGUGUAGCGGUGAAAUGCGUAGAUAUCAAGAGGAACACCUGCGGCGAAGGCGGGUUGCUGGGCCGACACUGACGCUGAGGCGCGAAAGCCAGGGGAGCGAACGGG